rnacentral:rRNA from 1 species
UUAGAGUUUGAUCCUGGCUCAAGACGAACGCUGGCGGCGCGCCUAACACAUGCAAGUCGAACGAGAGAUGAGGAGCUUGCUCUUCAAAUCGAGUGGCGAACGGGUGAGUAACGCGUGAGGAACCUGCCUCAAAGAGGGGGACAACAGUUGGAAACGACUGCUAAUACCGCAUAAGCCCACGGCUCGGCAUCGAGCAGAGGGAAAAGGAGUGAUCCGCUUUGAGAUGGCCUCGCGUCCGAUUAGCUAGUUGGUGAGGUAACGGCCCACCAAGGCGACGAUCGGUAGCCGGACUGAGAGGUUGAACGGCCACAUUGGGACUGAGACACGGCCCAGACUCCUACGGGAGGCAGCAGUGGGGAAUAUUGCACAAUGGGGGAAACCCUGAUGCAGCGACGCCGCGUGGAGGAAGAAGGUCUUCGGAUUGUAAACUCCUGUUGUUGAGGAAGAUAAUGACGGUACUCAACAAGGAAGUGACGGCUAACUACGUGCCAGCAGCCGCGGUAAAACGUAGGUCACAAGCGUUGUCCGGAAUUACUGGGUGUAAAGGGAGCGCAGGCGGGAGAACAAGUUGGAAGUGAAAUCCAUGGGCUCAACCCAUGAACUGCUUUCAAAACUGUUUUUCUUGAGUAGUGCAGAGGUAGGCGGAAUUCCCGGUGUAGCGGUGGAAUGCGUAGAUAUCGGGAGGAACACCAGUGGCGAAGGCGGCCUACUGGGCACCAACUGACGCUGAGGCUCGAAAGUGUGGGUAGCAAACAGGAUUAGAUACCCUGGUAGUCCACACCGUAAACGAUGAUUACUAGGUGUGGGAGGGAUUGACCCUUUCAGUGCCGCAGUUAACACAAUAAGUAAUCCACCUGGGGAGUACGCCCGCAAGGUGAAACUCAAAGGAAAUGACGGGGGGCCCGCACAAGCAGUGGAGUAUGUGGUUUAAUUCGACGCAACGCGAAGAACCUUACCAAGUCUUGACAUCCCUUGACGAACAUAGAAAUAUGUUUUCUCUUCGGAGCAAGGAGACAGGUGGUGCAUGGUUGUCGUCAGCUCGUGUCGUGAGAUGUUGGGUUAAGUCCCGCAACGAGCGCAACCCUUAUGGUCAGUUACUACGCAAGAGGACUCUGGCCAGACUGCCGUUGACAAAACGGAGGAAGGUGGGGAUGACGUCAAAUCAUCAUGCCCUUUAUGACUUGGGCUACACACGUACUACAAUGGCGUUAAACAAAGAGAAGCAAGACCGCGAGGUGGAGCAAAACUCAGAAACAACGUCCCAGUUCGGACUGCAGGCUGCAACUCGCCUGCACGAAGUCGGAAUUGCUAGUAAUCGUGGAUCAGCAUGCCACGGUGAAUACGUUCCCGGGCCUUGCACA